rnacentral:tRNA from 1 species
GGGCCCGUAGCCUAGCCAGGACAAGGGCGCCGGCCUUCGGAGCCGGAGGUCCCGGGUUCAAAUCCCGGCGGGCCCGCCA